rnacentral:rRNA from 1 species
AGUGAACGCUGGCGGUAGGCCUAACACAUGCAAGUCGAACGGCAGCACAGUAAGAGCUUGCUCUUACGGGUGGCGAGUGGCGGACGGGUGAGGAAUACAUCGGAAUCUACUUUUUCGUGGGGGAUAACGUAGGGAAACUUACGCUAAUACCGCAUACGACCUACGGGUGAAAGCAGGGGAUCUUCGGACCUUGCGCGAUUGAAUGAGCCGAUGUCGGAUUAGCUAGUUGGCGGGGUAAAGGCCCACCAAGGCGACGAUCCGUAGCUGGUCUGAGAGGAUGAUCAGCCACGCUGGAACUGAGACACGGUCCAGACUCCUACGGGAGGCAGCAGUGGGGAAUAUUGGACAAUGGGCGAAAGCCUGAUCCAGCCAUACCGCGUGGGUGAAGAAGGCCUUCGGGUUGUAAAGCCCUGUUGUUGGGAAAGAAAAGCAGCAGGUUAAUACCCCGCUGUUCUGACGGUACCCAAAGAAUAAGCACCGGCUAACUUCGUG